AGAGUGACAGCUGGGUCAAAUGGUGAUUCCAUUCCCAAUUUUCCAAGAAAUCUCCAUACUGCUUUCCAUAGUGGCUAUACCAAUUAGCAGUCCCACCAGCAGU
rnacentral:pre_miRNA from 1 species